UCUGCCCAAGUACCUGAACUUUUUGAUGGGAAACACAUUAGGAAGUUGGUUAAAGAUGGAUUCAUCAGCUGCAAACCAAACCACAUUCACUCUCCAUAUCAUGCACGGAGAAUGACAAAAGCCAGAUUGAGGGGUUUUCACUCUGGAUAUGGUUCAGUUAGUGAUUGAGAAUUUAGAGCAAUUGUUCCUGAAACAAUAAAAAUGAGCGGCUUGUUGUCAAUGAUGAUCGAGGUGAUAAGUUAAUGCUACUGCGAGCAAAUCCAGAUGCCCCU